GAUGAACGCUAGCGAUAGGCCUAACACAUGCAAGUCGAGGGGCAUCACAUGAAGUAGCAAUACGGAUGGUGGCGACCGGCGCACGGGUGAGUAACACGUAUGCAACCUGCCUUCAACAAGGGGAUAACCCGUUGAAAGACGGACUAAUACCCUAUAACACAGGGGUCCCGCAUGGGGAUAUUUGUUAAAGGACAACCGGUUGAAGAUGGGCAUGCGUUCCAUUAGCUAGUUGGCGGGGUAAGGGCCCACCAAGGCAACGAUGGAUAGGGGAACUGAGAGGUUUAUCCCCCACACUGGUACUGAGACACGGACCAGACUCCUACGGGAGGCAGCAGUGAGGAAUAUUGGUCAAUGGACGCAAGUCUGAACCAGCCACGUCGCGUGAAGGAAGACGGCCCUACGGGUUGUAAACUUCUUUUGCAAGGGAAUAAAGUGGGCCACGUGUGGCCUUUUGCAAGUACCUUGCGAAUAAGGAUCGGCUAACUCCGUG
rnacentral:rRNA from 1 species